rnacentral:rRNA from 1 species
UACGGGAGGCAGCAGUGGGGAAUAUUGCACAAUGGGUGCAAGCCUGAUGCAGCCAUGCCGCGUGUAUGAAGAAGGCCUUCGGGUUGUAAAGUACUUUCAGUCGUGAGGAAGGUGUUAAGGUUAAUAACCUUAGCAAUUGACGUUAGCGACAGAAGAAGCACCGGCUAACUCCGUGCCAGCAGCCGCGGUAAUACGGAGGGUGCGAGCGUUAAUCGGAAUUACUGGGCGUAAAGGGCACGCAGGCGGUUAAUUAAGUUGGAUGUGAAAUCCCCGGGCUUAACCUGGGAAUGGCAUUCAAGACUGGUUAGCUAGAGUCUUGUAGAGGGGGUAGAAUUCCAUGUGUAGCGGUGAAAUGCGUAGAGAUGUGGAGGAAUACCGGUGGCGAAGGCGGCCCCUGGACAAAGACUGACGCUCAUGUGCGAAAGCGUGGGGAGCAAACAGGGAUUAGAUACC